GACGAACCGUGCGAACGUUGUUCGGAAUCACUGGGCUUAAAGGGCGCGUAGGUGGCCAACUAAGUCAGACGUGAAAUCCCUCGGUUUAACCGGGGAACUGCGUCUGAUACUGGAUGGCUUGAGUUUGGGAGAGGGAUGCGGAAUUCCAGGUGUAGCGGUGAAAUGCGUAGAUAUCUGGAGGAACACCGGUGGCGAAGGCGGCAUCCUGGACCAACACUGACACUGAGGAGCGAAAGCCAGGGGAGCAAACGGG
rnacentral:rRNA from 1 species